rnacentral:rRNA from 1 species
ACAGCAGCAGCCGCGGUAAAACGAAGGGUGCAAGCGUUAAUCGGAAUUACUGGGCGUAAAGCGUGCGUAGGCGGUUUGUUAAGUCUGUUGUGAAAUCCCCGGGCUCAACCUGGGAAUGGCAAUGGAUACUGGCAAGCUAGAGUGUGUCAGAGGAUGGUGGAAUUCCCGGUGUAGCGGUGAAAUGCGUAGGGAUCGGGAGGAACAUCAGUGGCGAAGGCGGCCAUCUGGGACAACACUGACGCUGAGGCACGAAAGCGUGGGGAGCAAACAGGAUUAGAUACCCCAGUAGUCCCUGUCUCUUAUAC